rnacentral:lncRNA from 12 species
GUGAGCCUCGGUGGUGGACAAGCCGGGUUCAAAUCCCAGUUUAGCCUAAGCUCCUUAACUCACCUCAGCUACGUGACCCUCAGCGUCUACUUUAAUCUGGGUGCAGGUCAUGGUGUUUGGAAUGGGCCUGGCUCAUUCACCUAGUUGUGGGUUUGGUGACAUGUGGGUAGACAUCACCUGUCGCCAUUCCAGUCCCUAGCGGCCAAGGGGCCUGGGCAGACAUUAAAAGCCACAGGGAUCUCCAUGUAGGGCCAGAAAGCCAGUCACCUUUCCUGAUGCUGUUGAGUGACUGUGAUCACCUAUUAAAAUAGUCCCAGGGAUCCCUGGGUGGCACAGCAGUUUGGCGCCUGCCUUUGGCCCAGGGCGCGAUCCUGGAGACCCGGGAUCGAAUCCCACGUCGGGCUCCCGGUGCAUGGAGCCUGCUUCUCCCUCUGCCUGUGUCUCUGCCUCUCUCUCUCUCUCUCUCUCUCUCUCUCUAUCAUGAAUAAAUACAUAAAAUCUUAAAAAAAAUAAAAUAGUCCCAGCAACAUUCAUUACCCAAGGGGAGAUAACAGUGCAGUGUGACUGGUCCUCUCAGCCAGCCCUCAGCUUUCUAGCAACCUAUCUCCUGUGCUGGCCUCUCGGCUCAGGCCCAGUCCUGGAGGACCUGGGAGAAGGGGAAGUCUCCGCCCCUGGGAAAUGCAGAAUGUGGGAGGACUAGCCACUCUGAGCAACGGCACACAGUGUCAGGGCCUCCCAGGUCACAGGCCCACAGCACUAGAGGGAGCCUCCUGGUUCAGACUAUUCUCAUGGUGACCUCUCGGCCUCGCUAGCACUUGUCCUCCUCCACACCGGCCGCACCCUUCGCUCUGCUCCUUCACUACUCACAUCAGGCCUUUCCUCCAUCUAGAAGGGACAGGGAAGUUUCCAGGAGGCCCUCCCUCUUCUCUUCUUCCUCUGAACUUUCAUUUCUUCCACUAAUACUGGUGGAAGCCUGCUCCGGGGUAGGGCCUCAAAUGAAACGGAAAGUGGGCCCCACCUGCACAAAGCCUCAGCGGUUCCCAGGAAAGGGCAAUGACCUCUCCAUUCUUCCCUAUUUCAGAAUCUGCCACUCACUCCUACAAUGAGGCUCCGGGAAACCAUCAGAGAAGUCCUGGGCUCUUGCAACAUAUUCAACAAAACAGG